UACGUAGGGUGCAAGCGUUGUCCGGAAUUAUUGGGCGUAAAGAGCUUGUAGGCGGUUUGUCGCGUCUGCUGUGAAAUUUCGGGGCUCAACCCCGAACUUGCAGUGGGUACGGGCAGGCUAGAGUGUGGUAGGGGAGACUGGAAUUCCUGGUGUAGCGGUGAAAUGCGCAGAUAUCAGGAGGAACACCGAUGGCGAAGGCAGGUCUCUGGGCAUUAACUGACGCUGAGGAGCGAAAGCAUGGGGAGCGAACAGG
rnacentral:rRNA from 1 species